AUUAUGGAGAGUUUGAUCCUGGCUCAGGAUGAACGCUGGCGGCGUGCCUAAUACAUGCAAGUCGAGCGAACAGACGAGGAGCUUGCUCCUCUGACGUUAGCGGCGGACGG
rnacentral:rRNA from 1 species